rnacentral:rRNA from 1 species
UACGUAGGGGGCAAGCGUUGUCCGGAAUCAUUGGGCGUAAAGCGCGCGUAGGCGGCCAGACAAGUCCGGUGUGAAAGUCACAGGCUCAACCUGUGAAUGCCGCUGGAAACUGUCUGGCUAGAGUCCGGAAGGGGCGAGUGGAAUUCCUGGUGUAGCGGUGAAAUUCGUAGAUAUUCGGAAGAACACCAGUGGCGAAGGCGGCUCACUGGCCCGGUACUGACGCUGAGGUGCGAAAGCGUGGGGAGCAAACAGG